rnacentral:rRNA from 1 species
GGAGCAGCCCAGAGCCUGAAUCAGUAUGUGUGUUAGUGGAAGCGUCUGGAAAGGCGCGCGAUACAGGGUGACAGCCCCGUACACAAAAAUGCACAUGCUGUGAGCUCGAUGAGUAGGGCGGGACACGUGGUAUCCUGUCUGAAUAUGGGGGGACCAUCCUCCAAGGCUAAAUACUCCUGACUGACCGAUAGUGAACCAGUACCGUGAGGGAAAGGCGAAAAGAACCCCGGCGAGGGGAGUGAAAAAGAACCUGAAACCGUGUACGUACAAGCAGUGGGAGCACGCUUAGGCGUGUGACUGCGUACCUUUUGUAUAAUGGGUCAGCGACUUAUAUUCUGUAGCAAGGUUAACCGAAUAGGGGAGCCGAAGGGAAACCGAGUCUUAACUGGGCGUUAAGUUGCAGGGUAUAGACCCGAAACCCGGUGAUCUAGCCAUGGGCAGGUUGAAGGUUGGGUAACACUAACUGGAGGACCGAACCGACUAAUGUUGAAAAAUUAGCGGAUGACUUGUGGCUGGGGGUGAAAGGCCAAUCAAACCGGGAGAUAGCUGGUUCUCCCCGAAAGCUAUUUAGGUAGCGCCUCGUGAAUUCAUCUCCGGGGGUAGAGCACUGUUUCGGCAAGGGGGUCAUCCCGACUUACCAACCCGAUGCAAACUGCGAAUACCGGAGAAUGUUAUCACGGGAGACACACGGCGGGUGCUAACGUCCGUCGUGAAGAGGGAAACAACCCAGACCGCCAGCUAAGGUCCCAAAGUCAUGGUUAAGUGGGAAACGAUGUGGGAAGGCCCAGACAGCCAGGAUGUUGGCUUAGAAGCAGCCAUCAUUUAAAGAAAGCGUAAUAGCUCACUGGUCGAGUCGGCCUGCGCGGAAGAUGUAACGGGGCUAAACCAUGCAC